ACACUUACCUGGAAGAGGUGAUUCCAUGAUCACAAAGAUGAUUUCCCCAAGGCAGGGCUUAUCCAUUGUACUCUGGAUGGACUGACCCCUGCCAUUUCCCCAAAUGCAGGAAACUUGACUGCAUAAUUUGAUAUAAAUAUAAUAUAAAUUAUAU
ensembl:snRNA U1 U1 spliceosomal RNA